GCCGCGGUAGCUCAGUUGGUAGAGCGCUUCCAUGGUAAGGAAGAGGUCUCGGGUUCAAAUCCCGACCGUGGCUCCA
rnacentral:tRNA from 5 species